CACCUGCAAAGUUGAGAACCCGACUUACCGAGCUCUGUUUGCCUUUUUUUCCACCCACCCCCCCCCGCCCCCUCCAACCCGAAGUUAAUAUUAACCCGCGACUAAUGCAUUCGGCGGCUAUUCCCCGAGCCUAACAAUUCUCUCCGGGGGAAGAUCUCUCCAUGCUUGAAGGGUUCGAGGCGAAGGGCGAGGGGCUGCAGGACGGCAACCCCGAGUCCGACCCCUCUCCUUCGUCCCCUCUGCCCCAACCCGGCCCUCUUCCCUCUUUGUGUCUAAAGCAACCCGAAAGAAAGAAAGAAAGAAAGAAAAAAAACUAUUUGUUUUCGUUCCGUUCGUCUGAGGGAAGUUGACAGAAGGUCAGGAGUUCACCCGCUGCCGUCUAAUGCGGCGGGAGCCGUGCCCCGGGAGGGCAUCCUCGCACCGCCCCCGGUCCGCACCGCUCCUCCGCACCCGCUCCGCCGCGCCGUGCCCCGCCGGGAGCCCAUCUCCCGCGGAGCCGCCUCCUCCUCCUCCUCCUCUCCGCUCGAGGAGGGAAGGGUGAAACCCGAGCCGGCGCGAUCGAUGGGCGAGAGGAGUUAAGUGGAGCUGAAAAUGCGAGAUGCGGUGGCAGAAAGGGCGGAGGAGCGCUCAGCGGGGCGCGGGGGUUGCAGCUCCGCGUUCCGAGCUCCGCGCAGCGCACACGGAGCUCCGCGCUCCGCCCCGGCACAGACGCGCCGCCGCGCUCCCGAGGUACGCGGCGGAUUUAAGGUGGUCGGGAAGAGAUGGUGGCCCCGAGCCCCGGGAGAACCGGCAAACGUGCGGAAAAUCAGGCCGAGAAGCUGGGAGAGUUUGGGAAAUUCCCCCCCACCCUCCCCCCCCCCCUCCCUCCUUCCCCGCACCCCAUCCGCGUCCACUCCCCGCCUCGUCCUUCCCCGCGAGUCCUGUUCUAGCGCUGAAGGUGGGGCUUAAAUGUAUUAAUAUUAAAAAAGCGCCGUUGACCUAUAUUUGGAGGAAACCCAUUUCCAGUGCCUAGAUUGCAUGUAGUUUGAGAAACUCCGGGAUUGGCAGAGCAAUUGACUUCACCGAGCUCUCUGGUGAGCAUGAAUAAUAAUUACGAGGUGACUCUCGGAGAGGUUCUCUAUCUCUCUCUCUCUUUCUUUCUCUCUCUCUCUUUUUGCAUAAAAUGGUUCCGCAAUCCGAUUCCGCCCGAGAUCCAAUAUUUACCCGGUUGUAAACCUUGUGCCAUCAGAUUUUUUUAAACCCGAAGGUGAUGCAAUGCCGAUAAGUUGCAAGUCCCUCCCCUAUGGAAGUACCAGAGAGCUGGCGGCGAGCAUCCUUAAAGAAAUAUCAAUAUAUUUACGCUCUGAUGGGCACAAUCGCAAAUGAUGGUAUUGCAAUACGAGCUCUAUCAUACGGAAUCAGGAGAGCCAUGGUCGAUCCGGCUUCAGCUGCCUUUUCGUGGCAAGUGAUGUCUUUAUCCCCGGUCUCCAAAAGCGACUGAUCAGACAAAGGUGUUGAGAGACGAGCAGAACUGCAGCGAUGGGGCUGAUAGAGCAGGUCGGGCGGAAAGGCAGGGUCCCGUAUGGACAAAUACGGCUGCAAAGGGCUCCUCUGCUUUUGCUCCGGCGUGUACGCGAUUUGUCCCAGCGUCCCGAAACUCGAAGAAGCUUUUUGGGAGUUCUCAAAAGUCCCGAGAUGACAAGCUGUAGUGAGCCGAAGUCCUUAGUAAAAAAUAAUACAUAGAAAUCAGCUUUAUUUAAGGAAAAAUAAAACGCAGCUCUUUUGGAGAGAGAGAUGAUGCGGGAGUUUUCCCGUCUGAGUCGUAAUCCGCUUAAAGCACGUGAAGAUGGACUUGAAAAUUAGUUUUUAAGUGGUUGAAAAAGAGUCAAGUAAAAGUUGUACGCCAUGAACAGCAGCAUGGAGGACCACCCCAACUUGCAAGGGACAAAGUGAUCUUUCCUAGGUAAACUUUAGAGAAAGAGCUGAAAGAAGUGAUUGGAAACUCUCGGAUCGACUUUUCCCUCCCGUGCACCCACUCUCCUCUCCUGUUACUUAUGUUUCUCCGUAACCUUCCAGUGAAGCUCUGCUUUCUCUUCCCCAACUUGAAAUUUCGGCGUUUUUAAUGUGGGGAUGGGUAAGGAGAGUGAGGAAGGCAGCCGCUUGUCUGCGAGGUUUUUGUCAGCCCAUCGAGCUGCAGAAACAAGCCGUCUAACAGCCAAACGCCUGCUUCAUGCCAUGAAAAACACACUCAAGUUUUAUCUUCCCGUCUGUGUGCAUGCGAGAAGACAGAUACAAGGAAUAUAUAAUUUAUACAAAAGAGGCUAUGUUCUUUUGAUGUGGUUGCUUAAACAGCAUGACUUGAUAUAACAGUUGAUUAAACAGUGCCAAGGAAUAAAAGCUGCCCCUAAUGGUG